ACCUGGGGGCAGAGCCAGGCAGGUGAGGCCCUGGCUGGGGCUGUCCUCCCACCUGCCACGGGGCCUUUGCACAUGCUGCUUCUCCACCAAGAGUGCUGUUUCCAGCACCCCCCACCCCAGCGCUGAGCUGGCUCCUCAUCCUUGCACCCCAGCUCCAGCAUCGCCCCCUCACCUCCAUGAGCGGAUGAGGUGGGGAUGUGCGGUUUUUGAGUCCUGGCUUGGCCACUCCCUAGCAGUGUGACCCCAGGAGCCUGCAUCCAGGGUUGUCUGGCAACAGCUGGGGCUGUAUUUGCCCAGGGCCCGUGCUUCGUUUCUGUACUUGUCGGGUCCCUGAGAUCUCCCCCAGGGCAGGCACCGGCUGCACCCGCACAUCUGCCCGCACCGGUGCCCGAGGGUGGGAUGCCCGGCAGCCCUGCGCAGGAGGCACUCCCACGACCCGUGUCGACGGAGGGGGUCCGCGGUGGGCAGCGCUCACCUGGUGCAGGUCUUACACUCCUCCGUGGGGUAGGCUCCCAGGUGUAGCCUCCGCAGGUGAUCGAUCUUGGGCUGGCCCGGCGCCCUGGCAGAGAGAGGACGUGAGCAGCUCAGGGUCCACGCACACACGUGCGCUCACACACGCACACGGGCACAGACCCCCUCCCCCUGCAGACACAGCGGUGCGGGCAGGCACGGGAGAACCUGUGGGAGGGGACCUGGGGGCCGGGCGUAGAGGUAUUAAAUACGUCUGAACAUUUCUGAACGUUUCCAGAACAACGAAUUUAAAACCUCCCUGUGAACAGGCCCCUCUUUUCUUCAAGUUUUUCCUGAAACCCAAGCACCAACGAAAGCCUGGGAGUUCUCAGGCGGUCCCUCCUGCCGUGAGACAAGAAGGAAGAUGCCAGAAGGUUGCAGAGCCCAACGCUUGAAGCGUUUCACCCGAAGGGAGCCUUAGGAGGCUAACUUUCUUUCUCCGGCUCGUCUGUGUCUUCUGCAAUUCCCACCUAAGGGCCCUCGGUCGCGCUGCAGCGCCCGCACCAUGCCGACCUCCGGCGGACCAGAGCCCACGCGGGAUAUGCUUGAGCUCCACGGUGGCUGAGCCGGAGUCAGAGGCCGGCCCUGCGGCACUCCACGCAGAGGGACGCGGACGUCACACAGAUGACCGAGUGCAGGGAUGGAGAAGGUGGCACGGGAGUCACCGGCCGAGCAAGCACGUCUCCCGGGCCAGCGUCAAGGUCAAGGCCUGAGAGCGGCAGCCGGCGGGGCGCACGCGGAGGCCACGGGGCAGAGGCGGGCACGCACCUGAUGAGGCCGUCCAGCUGCAAGGCGCUGGCGCUGGCGGGCAGCGCGGGAGCCUUGCCGAAGUGCAGGCGUAGGGGCUGCUUGGGCUGCAGGCGGCUGACCAGGCCGUCGCUGACGGGGAGCCAGUCCAGGCUGGGGAUGAGCAGCUGGCUGGGCAGCAGGCAACACUCGUCCACGAGAGCCUCAUCCGGCUCGCUCGCGGGGCCCUCGUCACGGCCUGCGGGAGAGGAGCGCAGGGAUGCGCGGCCGCCGGGGACCAACACAGCCUGACUGG